UACGUAGGGACCAAGCGUUGUUCGGAUUUACUGGGCGUAAAGCGUACGUAGGCGGCUUUGUAAGUUAGAGGUGAAAGCCCGGGGCUCAACCCCGGAAUUGCCUUUAAGACUGCAUCGCUUGAAUCGCGGAGAGGUGAGUGGAAUUCCGAGUGUAGAGGUGAAAUUCGUAGAUAUUCGGAAGAACACCAGUGGCGAAGGCGGCUCACUGGACGCGUAUUGACGCUGAGGUACGAAAGCGUGGGGAGCAAACAGG
rnacentral:rRNA from 1 species